rnacentral:rRNA from 1 species
AAAGGGAAGCGCUUGCAACCAGACCUGCCUGCAGUUGCUCAUCCGGGCUUUUGCCCGGUGCACUCUUCUGCUGUCAGGCCAGCAUCAGUUCGGGCGGUCGGAUAAAGGCUUCGGGAAUGUAGCUCCUCUCGAGGAGUGUUAUAGCCCGUUGCGAAAUGCGGCCAGCCUGAACUGAGGUCCGCGCUUCGGCUAGGAUGCUGGCGUAAUGGUUGUAAGCGGCCCGUCUUGAAACACGGACCAAGGAGUCUAACAUCUGUGCGAGUGUUUGGGUGUCAAACCCGUACGCGUAAUGAAAGUGAACGGAGGCGGGAACCCCUCGGGGUGCACCGUCGACCGAUCCUGAUGUCUUCGGAUGGAUUUGAGUAAGAGCAUAGCUGUUGGGACCCGAAAGAUGGUGAACUAUGCCUGAAUAGGGUGAAGCCAGAGGAAACUCUGGUGGAGGCUCGCAGCGGUUCUGACGUGCAAAUCGAUCGUCAAAUUUGGGCAUAGGGGCGAAAGACUAAUCGAACUAUCUAGUAGCUGGUUCCUGCCGAAGUUUCCCUCAGGAUAGCAGUAACGUUUUCAGUUUUAUGAGGUAAAGCGAAUGAUUAGAGGCCUGGGGGUUGAAACAACCUUCACCUAUUCUCAAACUUUAAAUAUGUAAGAAGUCCUUGUUGCUUAGUUGAACGUGGACAUUUGAAUGUAUCGUUACUAGUGGGCCAUUUUUGGUAAGCAGAACUGGCGAUGCGGGAUGAACCGAACGCGGAGUUAAGGUGCCGGAAUGCACGCUCAUCAGACACCACAAAAGGUGUUAGUUCAUCUAG